rnacentral:misc_RNA from 1 species
GAUGAAGAACGUAGCGAAAUGCGAUAAGUAAUGUGAAUUGCAGAAUUCAGUGAAUCAUCGAAUCUUUGAACGCACAUUGCGCCCGCCAGUAUUCUGGCGGGCAUGCCUGUCCGAGCGUCAUUACAACCCUCAGGCCCCCGGGCCUGGCGUUGGGGAUCGGCGGAAGCCCCCUGCGGGCACAACGCCGUCCCCCAAAUACAGUGGCGGUCCCGCCGCAGCUUCCAUUGCGUAGUAGCUAACACCUCGCAACUGGAGAGCGGCGCGGCCACGCCGUAAAACACCCAACUUCUGAAUGUUGACCUCGAAUCAGGUAGGAAUACCCGCUGAACUUAAGCAUAUCAAUAAGCGGAGGA